rnacentral:misc_RNA from 1 species
AAGUCGUAACAAGGUUUCCGUAGGUGAACCUGCGGAAGGAUCAUUAACACGUAUCCAAACGUUAACCCCCCUGUGAACCUUUAGUGUGCUCGUACCUUUGUCAGAGCGUGGCAAUCCCUAGUAAAUCAUCGCCGAACAGUUUUCGAUUUAGGGACUUCCACAAAGAGUGUGCUCGUAGCGCGAGGCAAGUGGCCUGGCAUUCCCAAGCAGUUGAUCGUUGGAGGCCGACACGGCCGACGACCGGGUCACCGGGCUCACGCCCCUUAAUCACAACUUAAUGCAUGUCAGACGCGCCUGCGCUUAAUUGUGCGGCGACCAUAAAACUCGAACAACUGUUAACAAUGGAUAUCUUGGUUCUC